rnacentral:rRNA from 1 species
AAUAGUGGACAAUGUGGGCAACCCUGAUCCAGCCAUGCCUCGUGCGUGAAGUAGGUCUUCGGAAUGUAAAGCACCUUAAGUUGGGAGGAAGGGCUUUAGGUUAACACCCUGACGUUUUGACGUUACCAACAGAUUUAGCACUGGCUAACUCUGUGCCAGCAGCCGAGGUAAUACAGAGGGUGCAAGCGUUAAGCGGAAUUACUGGACGUAAAGCGCGCGUAGGUGGUUCAGUAAGAUGGGUGUGAAAUCCCCGGGCUUAACCUGGGAACUGCUUUCAUAACUGCUGAGCUAGAGUACGGUAGAGGGUAGUGGAAUUUCCUGUGUAGCGGUGAAAUGCGUAGAUAUAGGAAGGAACACCAGUGGCGAAGGCGACUACCUGGACUGAUACUGACACUGAGGUGCGAAAGCGUGGGGAGCAAAC